UCAGCCUACAAUGACAGACAAGAUGGCCAAAGAAAAUUCUUGAAUGGACCGCCUGAACUUGCAUAAGUAAUUAGCCUGCAGCGCACCAUUCACAAAAAAAAAAUCUCAGACUACCGCCCCAGCCUGUUCCAGAGAGAUAGCGAUCGGCCUGAAAACACGGACAAACUGCACGGAAUUAGCGGCAUACGGGGGAGGUUGGCAAGACACCGAUACACGCACAAGCAGAUAAACUGCUUCUAUCCCUGCACUUCAGAAUUAUCUGGGCCUCCAGUGUUUUCUCACGGAUCUCUCCCAUUGGUCGCCUGUCUAUUUCAUCGGCUCCAAUUUCCAUCCGUCAAUCACUCACUCCGCUACUUGAUUAAAGAUACAGGCUUUCUUCCGCGAAGACUAACCUAGUUUCUAACGCCUCAGUAAAUGGGAGAUGUGGAGGGGGGGAGUUUAAAAUAAUAUGGCGUUAAUCAUAUAUAAUUCUAAACAUCACUAUCCUUGAAAGAGAAGACGGAGACAUUCGUGGUUUAAAUCAGGUUGCAGAGUCUUAGAUUGUAACCGAGCACAGCUUCACCUCAAUGCAAAGUCCAGGUUUAAAAUCAGUGCGAGCGAAGCAGUACUUCUUUUCUGGGACCGGAGCGUACAUAAAACUGGCUGCAUAAUUUCUGCCUCACAUCGAUCAUUUAUUCAAGUUAUCCGAGCCUGCCUGAAAGCUUCUCCAUGUUGCCCGACGCGUUUCGCCACAUCUGUUAUGAACCAAAGAACACUAUUCUGUGCAUAAUAUUUGGAAAUUAAGCGUUAAGAGUAAAAAAAGGAAACUAAAAUCGGAAAGUACAGCAACAAUUGCAACAUUUCUGACCUGGUCGUGCUUAAUAAUUGCAGGACUCACAAAAUCCCGAGCAACAAUGACAUUUCCUACAAGUCUGCAGAUGUGUUUUUGUUUUAUUAUUUUAUAACGUAUAUGCUGUUUUGCUCUUGGCAACUGCAACGCUUGCAUGUUCAAGCGUUGCUUUUGGGGGGGGGAAAGAGGAACUUUGGUUCGAGAAAUACAAAGUGAGUUAAAA